rnacentral:tRNA from 1 species
AAUAAGGUGCCUGAUGAUGAAAAGGAUUAUUUUGAUAGAAUAAAACAUGUAUAUUUUACCCUUAUUA